rnacentral:rRNA from 1 species
UACGUAGGGGCCGAGCGUUGUCCGGAGUUAUUGGGCGUAAAGAGCUUGUAGGCGGUUUGUCGCGUCUGCUGUGAAAUCUCAAGGCUCAACCUUGAGCUUGCAGUGGGUACGGGCAGACUAGAGUGUGGUAGGGGAGACUGGAAUUCCUGGUGUAGCGGUGAAAUGCGCAGAUAUCAGGAGGAACACCGAUGGCGAAGGCAGGUCUCUGGGCCACUACUGACGCUGAGAAGCGAAAGCAUGGGGAGCGAACAGG